GCUCAUGGGGUGGGGGGUGGGGGUGUUGUAAGGGAUCAACACAUUUCUCUGUCAUCGCUACAGUCACUGCUGAGCAGUGGGUCAUCUGGUCUGGUUCAUGGGGAAGAAAUAAGGCAGCCGGAUGGUCAUAGGUCUGUUCUGGCAGAGGGGUGAGGACUCGGGGCUUAUUUCUCUCUGGCCUGUGCCAUCUGUGGAUACGAGCUCCCCAUAAGUGAGCUUCAGGAGGCCAGUCCCCAGGCAGGUGGGAGAAGCCCAAGGAGGCUGUCUAACCUCUGAGAAGGGCCACAGGGAUCACCUGGAUGUGUGAGCCCUACCAGGCAGGCACAGCAGUCCUCGGGGAGACUGGGAGACCGGAAGAAGGCUGGGCUCUUGACUCUAGGUUCUUUGGGCCCAUGGGAAUUUCUGUGUAGAUUUACUCCAUUCAUUAUUCAGUCAGUUUACCGAUGCCAACCCCAGCCUGGGCGCUGGGGACACACUUGUCCUCAAGGAGAUACUAUCCCAGGAGGGAGGUGAGCUCAGAGUGGGUAGUGGUCAGGGCCUCCGGAUGAAGCCAGGUCAACCUCUCUGGAAGUUCAGAAGGGGAAGAAGUCAUCCAACCUGGGGGCAUCAGGGAAGGCUUCCUGUGGAAGGUGAUAUUUAGGCUGAGCCUUGAAAACAUGACUGUGAAGAGAUAGCAUGGGAUAAAAAGGGCAUUCGGUGUCUAAGGAACAGCAAAGGCCUGGUCAUGGGAACUCAGCUUGGGAGGUGUUGGUCAGAGGCAGGCAGAGGGGUCUGGACUCACUGUAGCUAUCCCCUGAGCCAGGGAGCCACCUCUGUCCCUCACAUGCAUGUGCACAUGUAGGGGUCACGUUCCAGCUUGCUGGAGACGAGAGGAGAGCUCCUGCCCUGGCUCUCCUGAUUAAUCUAUAAUUAAAUCAGCACAGACGCCACAGAACUGUGCUGUCAUUAGAGAGUUCGUAAGGGCAAACAGUGAUUUCUCCACUAACCAAGAGCCCUGCCAGGGGGCUGCAGCUCUGGUCAUGCACAGACAGCCAUCAGGGGCAAGAUGCAAGCACAGGAGGCCAGAGCUUCAGGCAGGAAUAAGAAAACCGGCAGCUCACACUUUGGCCAUUUAUACAGUGUUCCCGUCACUACCUUGGUUAAGCCUGACAAUGACACGAUGGCCAUGGGUGGGGCUUGGGGGGGACUAUUAUUUAUUUGCUCCCAUUUUACAGAUACAGAAACUGAGGUGCAGAAAGCACAAGGGUGAAACAGCCCGGUUGGUUUCAGAAUUGCCAGAGGUGCCUCUUGCCAGCUGUGUGGUCUCAAGCAGAUUGCUUACCCUCUCUGUCCCUCAGUUUCUUUGUCUGUGUAAUGAGGCCGAAACACUGUCACUUCAAAAUAUUGGUUUUAAGGACUGAAUGAAGCAAUCCAUGCAAAGAAUUUAGCAGCGUUUGAUGCUUAUCAAAUGCUACUACUUAUGAUCAUGCUUUGUUAUAAUUGCUUGUUUCUUGUCCUCCUUUCCCACGAGAAUGCAGGCUCCAUGAGGAUAGGGACUAUGUCCAUCUUGUUCAUUGCUGUGACUCCAGCAAUUGUCACUUGGUAGUGUUCGGAUUCAAGGGACAAGUACAGAUCUGCCUUGACUCACGAUGGAGUUAAUGUCCUGAUAAGUGGAAAAUACAGGUCUUCGGACCUGCAGAGAGGUCAGAGGGGCUGGAGUCUGCAGCCCACCGGACACAGAAGGGAUCAGAGGGAAUCUGCCUGUGGCGGUUCAGAGGAUCGUUACUGUCUCUGUGCUGCAGUUUCCAACCUCUCCGCUGGGAUCUGAGAUGUGGAAACUGAGGCCCCGUGAGGUUGGGUGACUUUCCCAGUCACAGCCAGUGUGUAACAGAGCCAAGAUCUGAACCCACGCCUGCUCACUCUGGAGCCCACACUCCUGCCACACUGUGAAGGAAUACAUGAACACUCAAAAAAUUUGGGAAACACAGGAAAGAAGGAAGAGGGAAAAGUCCUACAUAGCUCCCCCUCCCCAACCUUGGGAUAUAUUUCAUUAACAGCCUGGGAAUCUCCUACUUCUUUUGGCUGAGCCUGUGGGUACAAGCGAGUGACUGGCCUGGCCGAGGUCACACAGAUCAGCACAGUCAGGAUUUGAAUUCAGACUAUGGGAGGCCAGAAUUUGAGGUGAACUCAAUGUGGCUCAGGCCUCAGGGAGCCGUUUCCAGUCUUAUGGGAGAAAUGGAAGCAAACAGGUGUGGCUUAGUUUGGCCUCCCCCAGAAGGAGACCUCGAGACAGUGAGGAGCACAGGGGGUUUCUUUGGGAGGUGAUCCCAGUAAGUAGGAGGCAGAGCAGGUGGAGGGUGAGACGGGGCAGGAGUGAAUGUCAAUAAAAUGUGCAUUAGUGAGCGGCUCCUGGAACUCAUCCUGCUGGGGACCUUCUGAGAAAUGGUGGAGAGGACACCUCAGAACCCUCUCCCUGAAGGAGGCUGGGCAUUCACCUAUUGGUUCCCGACCACCAUGACCGAAGGUUGCUCCUGGGGGCAUUCACUCUUCUGCCUUUCCAAGUUGUCCUGUGCUUGGGCAGAGCAAACUCUUGUGGCUUCAGAAAACGCCAUCAUCAGGCAGAAAAGUGGAGGAACCGGUGUCUGGGAGCUGACCGGUGUCCAUGGCUGAAGCUGGAGUCCCAGGUGGACACCAACAACAGUUGCUAUGAGGUGUUUGAGACAUAGAGUGUUUUGGUCAUCAUAAAGCACUUGGGGAGUCUAGAGUUAACAAUACUGUAUUGCAUACUUGAAAUUUGCGAAGAAGGUAAACCUUCAGUGUUCUCACUACAAGAAAAAAAGGGAACUAUGUGGGGGUGAUGGACAUGUUAAUAAACUUGAUUGCGGUGAUCAUGCCACAACGUAUACAUAUAUCAAAACACCAGGAUGUACCCUGUACAUAAAUAUAAUUUUUGUUUGUCGAUUAUACCUUAAUAAAGCUGACGGAAAAAAUAAACAAAUAAAUGCUUGGUAAUACUAAAGGGAAACAAAUUAAGUAUUUGGAAGUGACAAACUGGGAAUGGAGAGUAGGGUGCAGAAGUCAGGGAAGGUUUCCCCAGAGUGAGUGACAUCGAGCUGGAUUUAGAGAGGUGAGCAGUGGGGGAAGAGGCAUCCCAGGUAGUAGGGCCUGCACACAGCUUGUCCUCCGGAGAGACUGCAGAGCCUGGACCUGAGCCCUGGGGUCUGACCAGAAUUGAAUUAGGAAAUGGUGCAAAGACCAAACGGUGAAGGGUUUUAAAGACCAGGCUGAGGGGUUCAAACUUCCUUCCCGAGUGUUAGGGAGCCCAUGCAGGGUUCUGAGCACAGGGGUGGCACCAGAUCCGUGUUCUAGAAAGAUCUGUCUUUCUAGACAGACAGGGCUGGGGUGGAGGGUGGUUUGGGAGGGGGUAGACUGGAGCAGGAGCCAUGGAAAGAGGCUGGAGUAGCAGUGGAGUCAGGAGAUGUGGAGGCUGAGCCGGCUGAGACAGAGUAAUGGGGAGGAGGCAUCAGACCCCAAGGCUGUUUAGGAGAAGGUUUGGGAUGUAGGGUGGGGUGAGGAGGAGGCCAACCCUCCCUGGCUUCGGGGGCCCUGGGAAGCUCGUCCCUUUCCCUUUCCCCCAAGGGGCUGUCCAGAUGCCCGACUGCCUUGGAGAAUGGCGCUAGGGCCAGGCCUCCCCAGAUCUGGUCGUGAUGGAUCUGGACAUUAUCUGUUUUGGUCACAAGCCGAGUCUUAUCAUUAGCUAGCUGUGGUCACUGUCUGGAUCUAGUCAUUACCAGAGCUGGUCAUUACCCAGGGCUGGAGGUUACCUGCUGCCAAAUGGACUCUAUUUGGUUUGAGUCAUUCCAUCCUCUUCCAGGGUCCUUCCUGAAGCCCCGGCUCUCUGCCUGAGGACAUUAAUAUUCUGAAUUCUGAGGAUAUAUUUUCCCAGUUUCUUUGUUCUCAUUUUAUUACAUGUACAAAUGCUUACACAAUGUAUUUUUUAACUUAUCAACUUUAAAAUAAGAACAGCAUCUAGCCUUUUUAAAAAGCGAAAUGUUGUAUUGAUGAGAAUUCACCUAUGUUGUUGAGUAUAGUUGUGACUCACUCAUUUUGAGGGCCAUGUGUGACUGUACCACAAUCCAUUUAUCUAUUUAUUCAUUCUCUUGCCCAUUGAUAAUUGGAUUGUUGUCAGGAUUUCUGCUAUCACAAACAGCGCUGCUAUGGAUAUUCUUGUGCAUUUUUCCUGAUGCUCCACAAAAUGUGGUCUGAGAAUCAACAGCCUUAGCAUCACCUGGAAACAUGUUAGAAAUGCAGAAUCUUUGGCCCUGCCCUAGAUUCGCUGGAUCAGAAUCUGCCUUUUUGCAAGAUCCCUGGGUGAUUUCCACAGACAUUAAAGUUUGAGAAGCCCUGGCUCAGCAUACAUGUGCAUGGGUGUCUCUGGGCAGACGUACCCAGGAAUGGAUUCACUGGGUGACAGUGGUAUAUUGGCACGCCCUCCCCUCAGCAGACAGAAGAGCUGGAUCCAUCUACCUCUUCACUGACACUUAGUAUUGUCAGACUUUCUUCGUUUCUGCCAGUUGAAUGGGUGUGAAGUGGCAUCUCAUCAUAGUCUUGAUUUACAUUUCCCUGAUGACUAAUGAGGUCAGGCACCUCCUUGUGUAUUGACUGGCCACGCGUUCCCCUUCUGUGAGACAUCGUGGUGGUGUUUUUUUGCUUUUGUUUCUCUUUUAGACUCACUCAACUCAGCCCCUGGUUUUAUAUUUACUGUUCUCUCAGCCUGAAACACCUUCUGCGUUCCCUGUUCGGUGUCAUUUCUUCCAGGAAGCCCUCCCUGACUGCUGCUUGGGCUGUGAGCUGCUUCAGCCUCACAGGCAGGAAAACAUGGUGCCACGGCCCCUUCAUUUCAUUUCCUUAUUGAAGAGACUGCAAACCAGUAUGACUUGGUUCCUACAGAAUUAAUUCUUUUUUCAAUUUAGUUGCCAUAAUUUAAAUUUAGGAGAUUUUGCAUUAAAAAAUAUGAAUUGCUGAUUUCUUAAAAAAAGGGGGGGGGGAGAUGUGGCCCACUGAGCCUCCUUUCCCACAUGGCAACAAUCCGCUGGCACUGGGGCUGCCCCUACCUACCAGUCCCUAGGACUUCAUCCUCAUACCCUGCUUCAGUGACCUGCCCAGGCCCUGCGGACUUUAAAGUUUAUGACCGUAGCCUAAGCACAUCAGUUGUUUACUCCUCUAAAUCUCUCCCAUCCUUCCCUGCCUCCCCAUAAUUCUGUUCCUGUCCCUGUUCAGACCUUUAUACCUCUCUCCUAGACUGUUACACAAGACUCCCUCUGCCUUCCUUCUCUAGUCUUGCCAUUUCUGGUCCACUGACCCCACUCAAGAAUCAGCAAUGUCUCCCAAUUACUUUCCCAGGCACCACCUGACUUUCUUUAAAAAAAAAAAAAAGUAUUAAUACAUUAUGAAUGUUUCAUGAUCACAAAAAAAAGUCUAGAGAACAGUAUAACAAACGCCUGGGUACCCACCACCCAACUUAAGAAAUAAACCAUUUCAAGUGUAUUUGAAGCCCCUGUUACAUUCCCUUCUCCCUCUCUCUCAGGGUCACUACCCUUUUUAAUUUGCUAUUUAUCACUCCUGUAUGUAGUUUGUAUGUAUGACAUAUGUAUGUGUCCCUAAACAAUACAUAGUGUUGUGUUGCAUGCUUUCAAACUUUAUAUAUCUGACAAAAACUGUUUAUCCAUCUGCAACUUGUUUUUUUCAUCCAACAAUAUAUAU